CCUACGGGAGACAGCAGUGGGGAAUAUUGCACAAUGGGGGAAACUCUGAUGCAGCGACGCCGCGUGAAGGAAGAAGGAUUUCGGUAUGUAAACUUCUAUCAGCAGGGAAGAAAAAGACGGUACCUGACUAAGAAGCCCCGGCUAACUACGUGCCAGCAGCCGAGGGAUUACGUAGGGGCCAAGCGUUAUCCGGAUUUAAUGGGUGUAAAGGGGGCGUAGGCGGUGAUGCAAGUCAGAAGUGAAAGCCCGCGGCUCAACCCCGGGAGUGCUUUUGAAACUGAGUUGCUGGAUUGCAGGAGAGGAGAGUGGAAUUCCUAGUGUAGCGGUGAAAUGCGUAGAUAUUAGGAGGAACACCAGUGGCGAAGGCGGCUUUCUGGACUGUAAAUGACGCUGAGGCUCGAAAGCGUGGGGAGCAAACAGGAUUAGAUACCCCAGUAGUC
rnacentral:rRNA from 1 species